rnacentral:rRNA from 1 species
UUGUAACAAGGUUUCCGUUGGUGAACCUGCGGAAGGAUCAUUA